GUGCUUGCUUCCAUAGUAUAUAAACUAAAAUUGGAAGGAUACAGAGAUUAGCAUGGCCCCCUCGCAAGGAUAAUUUGUAAUUCAUGAAGUGUUCCGUAUUUUU